CGCGCCGGGGCCGUUAUGCAAAUUAAUGUAGGCGGGGCUCUGUGGUCGUACUAUUGGCCACGCCCACGGUGCUAACAGCCAAUAGGCUCACGGCUCAGCCGUUCCCCAUGCAAAUCUCCUGGUUUUUUAUUUGAAUGAGGGAAAUUGGCCACGCCUCCUGCCUUGGAAAGGAGAAGGAAGUCUGAGGUGGUGGCGCUGCGCCUUUUAGUUGCAGUGUGAAGUGUGUUUUGAGUGGAGCUUCGCUUUACCCAUAAUCACUGUGGUCUAGCCCGGCCUCAAGAAAUCUAUACUAGAGGAAACAGAAGAGUAAACAGGAAAUUUUUGACUUCUGCUUCCAAGUGAGAUGUGGUUGGUCUCACAAUGCCUGAUCUCAAAGUCCUGCUAGAGGAAUAGGUAUGUUAUACACACAGCAGAGAACUCCAAAUAUCACCCUCAAGAAGUUUGAAACCUGAGGUGAACUAAAAGUGACAUUGAAAUCCAAAUCCAACAGAGCAUAAUGCCUGAUUGGCUCAGAUUCAUUGUCUCUUAUUCCAACUUCCUAACAGUGGAAAAGAUAUGCACUCCCUGGGACAAAAUCUUUCAGUUCCCAUAAGCUUUUGGAUAUACAAUGCUCAACAUACAAUAAAAAAAAAAAUACAAUACAUACAAAUAUGAAGAAAAAUGUAACUUGCAAUCAAGAGAAAAUACAGCCAUUAGAAGCAGACCCACAGAGUGACCCAGAUGUUGGAAUCAGCAGACAAGGACUUUUAAAUUAGUAUUAUGAAUGUGUUAAGGAAAGCUCAGGAAAAGAUAUAUGAAACAGAUGAAAAUAUAUAGAACUUAAACAAUAAAGCUGUAUCUGUAAAAAAGAGCAAAUAGGACUGGGUCAGUUGGUAGAGUAUUUGACUCUUGAUUUCAGGGUUAUGAGUUUAAGCCCCGUUGGGCAUAGAGCUCACUAAAAUAAUAAUAAUAAUGAUAAUAAUAAUAAAAUAAUAAAAAAGAGCAAAUAGAUAUUCUGGACUUGAGAGAUACAAUAGCCAAAAUUAAGAAUUCAUUGUAUAGGUUUAACAGCUAACUGGACAUAGGAAAAAGGAUCAGUAAAUUUGAAGAAAAGUCAAUAUAUAUUAUCCAAACUGAAGCACAGGGAAAAGAACAAGAAAAAGGAGAUGGGAAGGUGCGAGGCAUAGAGAGCCAUUGAGAGAAUUUUGGAAACUUCUUUGCCAUUUUCUCUUCAAAUGUUUCUUCUGCCACAUACUCUUUCUCCGCUCCUUCUGGAACACCAUUAGGAUGCAUGUAAGACUUUUUCACUGACUAACAUUUCUUUCAUUCUCUUUUUUUGUAUUUUUCAUUUCUCUUAUGCUGUUUUCUGUAGUUUCUCUGUUCCCCCAGGAAUAGUUUUCUAGAUAAAUUCUGGAAUAUCAACUUCUUGCUUUGUAUCCAGAAAUAGAAAAUUCCCUCAGCACAAAAGCAUCAAUAGAGGAUCAUUAUCUACAGUAAAAUACUCUAUCAUGUUCUUUAGAUGUUGCAAAAUACCUAAGAUAAGAACAAUAGAAAGCUGUUUUAAGCAGAAGAGUGAUAAGAUCAGAUGUACAGUUUAAUAUUAAUAUUACUAUUUGUAACACCUAAUGAAAUAAUAAAUUCAGGGAUAAUAAUCACUGGCUGCUAAACCCAUUAGCUCAGUUGUUCCCCAACUUCUUGCUUUCAGGAAUGCUUCACAUUUUCAAAAUUAUUGAGGAUGAAGAGAUUUUCUGUAAGGGGCUUAUACCUCUGAAUAUCAUAUUAGAAAUUAAAACUGAGAAGAAUUUAGAACAAAAAUGUCAUAUAACCUCUGAAAAUUUCUGCUAUACACUUGUGAAAAAAUGUAAAUAAUAUCUAUUACUAUUUUGAAGUCUUUUUGGCCUUGCAGACUCUCUGGAAGAAUUUCGGAGAUUCCCAGGGGUCAUGUUUGAAAGCUAUGGCAUUAGCUUGGGAAACUUGAUGAUGAAUGGGUUAGGCUAACAACAUACCUGAACUCAAAAUAAAUCUUGUCCACACAAAAAGAAAGUCAAUUAUUUGAUUCAUGAUGCAAUACAAUAUGAAGUAUGCAACAACAUCUCUUGAAAUGUUCUUGCCAAAGGAAAAUGAACUUCAAUCUAGUCAAAUCUCUACAUUUAACAAGUUACAGGAAAUACAAGGAAUAAAAG